GAUGAACGCUGGCGGCGCGCCUAACACAUGCAAGUCGAGCGAUUCUCUUCGGAGAAGAGCGGCGGACGGGUGAGUAACGCGUGGGUAACCUGCCCUGUACACACGGAUAACAUACCGAAAGGUAUGCUAAUACGGGAUAACAUAAGAAAUUCGCAUGUUUUUCUUAUCAAAGCUCCGGCGGUACAGGAUGGACCCGCGUCUGAUUAGCUAGUUGGUGAGGUAAUGGCUCACCAAGGCGACGAUCAGUAGCCGACCUGAGAGGGUGAUCGGCCACAUUGGAACUGAGACACGGUCCUAACUCCUACGGGAGGCAGCAGUGGGGAAUAUUGCACAAUGGGCGAAAGCCUGAUGCAGCAACGCCGCGUGAGCGAUGAAGGCCUUCGGGUCGUAAAGCUCUGUCCUCAAGGAAGAUAAUGACGGUACUUGAGGAGGAAGCCCCGGCUAACUACGUGCCAGCAGCCGCGGUAACAC
rnacentral:rRNA from 1 species